CCGCAAAGCAGUGUAGCGUUCUUUCCUAGAGGAGUCAAGCGGUUCGGGCGGGCAGCUCCGCCCGCUGGGGGAGGAGCCCCAGGUCCCGCCGCUGCUGCCCCAAGUCGGCUGUGCUUGCGGCAGGGAUAGAGGCGCCUUGCGUACCAGGAAGUGACUCUUCCCCUGCGGCAGCAAACCAGGCCAUCAGCUGGCCUUUUGGUUUGUCGCCUCAGGUUACUAAGAGGAUUGAUUGGUCGCGAAGGCAGUACUGAAGUUUGAACCCAGGGCCUCGUGUAUGCUAGGCAUUAAGAGAAGAGUCUUAAUGUAUAGUCUGAGAUGCUUCCUCUCCAGAGUGGGUCUCUUCUCCAAGCCAGGACUGCUUCCCUGGUGUGCCAGAAAACCAUCAGAUUGGUCACAGCCCUUUUGGGGCAUAGCAUGUAAAGGAAAUUUCAGCCAUGUGAUAUCUAAGAAGUGUCCAAGAGGACAAAAAAGUCAUAAGAAACCAACUCAUCUUGGACCACAUGAUGGUUCCUGGCAGGAAAGGCUGGCUGAUGUUGUGACACCACUCUGGAGGCUUAGCUAUGAAGAACAACUCAAGGUGAAAUUUGAAGCUCAGAAGAAAAUUUUACAAAGGCUAGAGUCUUCCUUACAAAUGCUCAAUAGAGUCAAUGACACAAUCACUGCAACCAAAUCUGAAGAACUCUGUUGUCUUCUCCAUCCUGUUAUACCCUCUCCUGUUAUCACUGGUUACCGAAAUAAGUCCACCUUCUCUGUAAACCGAGGCCCAGAUGGCAAUCCAAAGACUGUGGGGUACUACGUGGGAACUUGGAGAGAUGGGAACAUAGUCUGUGUACAGCCUAACCAUCUGAAAAACAUCCCUGAGAAACACAAUCAAGUGGCUCAGGAGACAUUUGGCAAUGUCUGGAGCCAUUUUGGGUUGAUAUCACUGGAGAAUGAUUGCGUGCUGCUAUUAGUAUCUGGUGGUUAUUGGCGUGAGCUCAUAGUUCGUACCAAUAGUGAAGGACAUACAAUGGCUAUCAUCAUUUUCCACCCCCAGAAAUUAAGUCAGGAGGAGCUCUGUAUUCAGAAGGAAGCCAUAAAGGAAUUUUUCAUCAAAGGCCCUGGAGCAGUCUGUGACUUGACCUCACUUUACUUCCAGGAAUGCACCAUGACCCAUUGUAACCAUCAGCAGUCCCCCUACCAGCUCCUAUUUGGGGAGCCUCACAUCUUUGAAGACCUCCUGGGUUUGAAGAUUCGCAUCUCUCCAGAUGCCUUUUUCCAGAUUAACACUGCUGGUGCAGAGAUACUCUAUCGAACUGUGGAGGAGCUGAGCGGAGUGAAUUCUAAUACCAUCCUUCUUGACAUCUGUUGUGGAACUGGUGUGAUUGGCCUCUAUCUAGCUCGGCAUGCAUUCCAGAUCAUCGGGAUUGAAUUAGUGGAGCAGGCGGUAGAGGAUGCCAGGUGGACUGCAGCUUUCAAUGGCAUCACCAACUGUGAAUUUUACACUGGUAGAGCAGAGAAGAUUUUGCCACAGCUACUCAAAUCAAAGGAAGAUGGGCAGUUAAUUGUCGCUGUGGUGAACCCAGCCCGCGCUGGACUUCAUUACCAGGUGGUUCAAGCCAUUCGAAACUGCAGGGCCAUCCGCACUCUAGUUUUUGUUUCCUGCAAGCCCCAUGGUGAAACCACAAGGAACAUCAUUGAGCUGUGCUGUCCUCCAAACUCUGCUAAGAAGCUUCUAGGCGAACCUUUUGUCCUGAGACGAGCUGUACCUGUGGAUUUGUUUCCCCAUACCCUGCACUGUGAGCUGGUACUCCUCUUCACUCGAUAAGCAGCCUCCUAGAAGACUGAAGGUUAUUUGUUAAGGCUGAAGUGUUGGAAACUUCCAGCCACUGGAGGUGGAAGAGGUAGAAGUUUGACUCCCUGAUUGGCUCUCUCCAAAUGCCAGGGAGGCUAACCUAUAUGGAUUACAUCAGUGAGUCUCUUCCUGGCUUCUGGUAGAUUUGAGUAAUGGAGAUCCCUGGCAGGACUUCAAAGGAGGGGAAGAAACUGAGGUCAGAGUGUUUAUUCUUGGCUUACUUCUUGCAGGAUUGCCUCAGGCUGGCUACUGUCCCUUAACUAUAAAGGUCAUAGCUUUUCUUUCUAUACCACAAUCUCCUUUUUUUAUUGUACAACACCAGUUCCCUCUCUUCAUCCUAGAGUGGUAACAGCCCCAACUCACUGCACUCUCUCUCCUUGGUUUUCCUACAUUCUGCUCACACCUUUGUAGAUAGUCCUUUUGUUAAACUUUCUACUAAUUAUGCUAAUUUGAGUAUGCCAUCUGUUUCCUGGUGGGAACCGGACUGAUAACAGAUGAGGUCUCAAUUUUCAAAGAAGUAGAAUACAAUGAAAUAAACCUAACAAAAUAUGACUAAAUAUGAUUCAGUCUGUCUCUCUGAUUUAUCUAGGCUCUUUUAGUGCUUUCAGAUGAUCAUUAUGAACUACAGUCUUCAGAGAAUCAUUGACAUUUGGGAGUGCCAGUUCAUGGAAUAUUAAUAAUAACUAGCAUUUAUUAAUUACUUGCUCUUUCCAUGCACUGUACUAAGCAUGUUUUAUGUGCAUUAUUUCACUUAACCUCCACAGCAACCCAAUGAAGUAAGUAAUUUAUCUUCCUCUUGUAGGCGAGGAAACAAAGGCUCAGAUUAAAUAACCUGCUACCGAUUUCACAGCUGAGAAAAAGCAGAAUUGGAGUUGAGAUUCAGUCUUACUCCAUAGCUCAUGUUCUGAACUCUCAGAUCUGCAGCAUCCAGAAACUUGUUAAAAAUGUAGACUCACAGGCUUCACCUUACUUUUUGAGUCAGAAUCUGUGUAUUGGACAAGAUCCCCAAGUGAUUCAUGUGCAUAUUAAAGUUUGAGAAGCAGUACUCUAAACAGUGUUACAGUUUUGCUAUUACAGACUAAAGGUAGAAAGUUCUGUCUGUUUGAUGCUGGGUAAAAAAAGCAUUUGCCAUUCUGAGUUCCUUGACACUAACAUUGCAUGAUCUUUCAGCUAGAACCUGAAAAAUCACCCCAUAGUCAUUACCUACUCACCACCUUCCUCUCAACUCUUUCUUGUCCCUCAUACUCCUUUAAGAAAGCAUAUUGGUCAGAGCUUGGUGGCACACACCUU